rnacentral:rRNA from 1 species
GAUGAACGCUGGCGGCGUGCUUAACACAUGCCAGUCGAACGGAACUACUCCAAUGAGAGUCUUCGGAAAGGAUUUGGUUUAGUUUAGUGGCGGACGGGUGAGUAACGCGUGGGUAACCUGCCCUAUACAGGGGGAUAACAGUUGGAAACGACUGUUAAUACCGCAUAAGCGCACAGGAGCGCAUGCUCCGGUGUGAAAAACUCCGGUGGUAUAGGAUGGACCCGCGUCUGAUUAGCUGGUUGGCGGGGUAACGGCCCACCAAGGCGACGAUCAGUAGCCGGCCUGAGAGGGUGAACGGCCACAUUGGGACUGAGACACGGCCCAAACUCCUACGGGAGGCAGCAGUGGGGAAUAUUGCACAAUGGGGGAAACCCUGAUGCAGCGACGCCGCGUGAGCGAAGAAGUAUCUCGGUAUGUAAAGCUCUAUCAGCAGGGAAGAAAAUGACGGUACCUGACUAAGAAGCCCCGGCUAACUACGUG